GGUCUCGCUGGGCCAGGGCGUGGCGCUGGUGCCCGCGGCGCUGGAGCGCGUGGGCAUGCCACGCCUGGUGUUCCGCCCGCUGCAGGGCUCCCA
rnacentral:tRNA from 1 species